rnacentral:rRNA from 1 species
ACGUAAGGGGCGAGCGUUGUUCGGAAUUAUUGGGCGUAAAGGGCGUGUAGGUGGACUUGCAAGUCGGAUGUGAAAUUUUCGAGCUCAACUUGAAAACUGCGUUCGAAACUACAAGACUAGAGUAUAGUAUAGGGAGACGGAAUUCCUAGUGUAGGAGUGAAAUCUAUAGAUAUUAGGAAGAACACCGAUGGCGAAGGCAGUCUCCUGGACUAAUACUGACACUAAAGCGCGAAAGCUAGGGGAGCAAACGG